rnacentral:rRNA from 1 species
GAUGAACGCUGGCGGCGUGCCUAAUACAUGCAAGUCGAGCGAACGGACGAGAAGCUUGCUUCUCUGAUGUUAGCGGCGGACGGGUGAGUAACACGUGGAUAACCUACCUAUAAGACUGGGAUAACUUCGGGAAACCGGCGCUAAUACCGGAUAAUAUUUUGAACCGCAUGGUUCAAAAGUGAAAGGCGGUCUUGCUGUCACUUAUAGAUGGAUCCGCGCUGCAUUAGCUAGUUGGUAAGGUAACGGCUUAGCAAGGCAACGAUGCAUAGCCGACCUGAGAGGGUGAUCGCCCACACUGGAACUGAGACACGGUCCAUAGGCCUACGGGAGGCAGCAGUAGGGAAUCUGCCGCAAUGGGCGAAAGCCUUACGGAGCAACGCCGCGUGAGUGAUGAAGGUCUUCGGAUCGUAAAACUCUGUUAUGAGGGAAGAACAUAUGUGUAAGGAACUGUGCACAUCUUGACGGUACCUAAUCAGAAAGCCACGGCUAACUACGUG